GUAAGGAAUAUUGCGCAAUGGGCGAAAGCCUGACGCAGCAACGCCGCGUGCGGGAUGAAGGCCCUCGGGUUGUAAACCGCUUUCAGUAGGGAAGAAAAUGACGGUACCUACAGAAGAAGCCCCGGCCAACUACGUGCCAGCAGCCGCGGUAACACGUAGGGGGCGAGCGUUGUCCGGAUUUAUUGGGCGUAAAGAGCUCGUAGGCGGUUUCGUAAGUCGGAUGUGAAAACUCCAGGCUCAACUUGGAGACGCCAUUCGAUACUGCGAUGACUUGAGUCCGGUAGGGGAGUGUGGAAUUCCUGGUGUAGCGGUGAAAUGCGCAGAUAUCAGGAGGAACACCGGCGGCGAAGGCGGCACUCUGGGCCGGUACUGACGCUGAGGAGCGAAAGCGUGGGUAGCAAACAGGAUUAGAAACCCCGGUAGUCC
rnacentral:rRNA from 1 species